AUAUAUAUAUGACAGAGAUCGUUUUUAUCUGGCCCUCCAACUUGUUUUUGAGGUUUAAAUAUUCUCGCAAUCUGAUAUUAAAGUGAUCUCUGUGCCAAAGCUUAGCGCGUUCAUCAGUGGUGAGUUUAACAACACUCAACUGCAGGUAAAACAGCACUCAGCGGUGAGUUUGACCAAAGCAACACUCAACUGCAGGGAAAACGGCAUAAAAGGUGAGUUUAACAACGCUCCAAGGCGCGUGCAAGUAAGCAGUUUAACCGUUUUCUUACACACCAUUCUCGCUUAUCGCUUAUUCAUAGUUCAUCAUCUCUAUGAAAUCACGUUCAAGAAGUCUCAUUCAGCACACAUCGCGAUACUUGCCAUCAGUUUCCAUGUGCCACAGGGUCGAUGUAAAGGAAGCAGUCAUCCCUGUGGUGUUUGUGGAGAGGUUUUCCUUCAGAAAUGGAGAAGACUGAAAGCUGCGGAGGCAGACAUUUGCAGCAGAUUGUUCGCAGAUAAUGAUGUUCUUCUCGAUCAUGCACAAGGACUCACCUCUUUAACUCUUUAUCUUCCCAACACACACAGAAAUGCUCCCUUUAUCAGUGUUUAGACUUUGCAGUGCAGUUUUGUUUUAGUUCUAAGCUUAUAAUGAAUACAUUGUGACCUUCCAGCAACCCAUAUAUUGUAUACAGAACCAGUGAUCAAAACAAUGGUUGAAAAUAGUAUUUUUAUAUUGAUAAAGCAUUGUGUUCUCUUUUUCAAGCUUCAUACAGUAAACUUUACUUCUGGUGCUUUUAUCAUAAAAAAACAAACAUCAGUUCUCAUCAGGAGUUUUCGUAAAGGACGUAUUCAUGCACAGCCAUCCCCUAGUUCCAGUCAUGAAGUGAAUGAUGUUAUUGUCAGUUUUAUUUCUGCAAUUUUAUGUAGCAGGUGUUUGUUUUCCUGAACGUUAUCUUUCUUCCAUUGUUCGGACAAUCAGUGUUUAUUUGAUGCUGUGCUGAUGGAGGUUUAUAGAUGAUAUUGCACACUUGACAUGCAUGUCUUCAUGGUCUUUAUUUUCUGAGUUUGAAACAGUGUGUUGUAUCACUUUUUGGUCAAAUAAAUUCUUCAGUGUUCUCUGAAA